UCUCUUCUCCCAACAUAAUCAUGGGAAUUCAAUUCCUCAUUUUCAUGCUACUUCCAUUAUUAUUAUUAUCUCCUAAAUUCACAUUCUCUAUACCAUUUCCUGACCCUGAGCUUAUAGUACAAGAAGUUAAUGAGAAAAUCAACGCAUCCCGGAGGAAUCUGGGGUUCCUGUCCUGCGGGACAGGCAACCCCAUCGACGACUGCUGGGGUACGGGGCGGGACAUGGUGAUCCGGCUGAAGCAGGAGGUGAUGGUGGGCUCGACGGGCCAGUACUCGACGAACGUGAUCAUCCACGGGGUCAACAUCCACGAGUGCAAGCCGGGGACGGCGUGUCCAUAUUCUCCCUCUCCAACUGCCGGGACGGCCUCGAACAACUACCUCACGCACCACAACAAGGUGAUGCUGCUCGGCCACAGCGACAGCUACAAGCAGGAUAAGAAGAUGCAAGUCACCAUUGCCUUCAACCAUUUUGUUCAAAGAAUGCCAAGGAUACUUUCACGUGGUCAACACGCAUUGGGAAAUGUACGCAAUCCCCCACGAUAAACAGCCAGGGCAACCGCUUUCUCGCUCCCGAUACAGACCACAGUAAGGAGAUUUAUGAAUGCAAGGCCCAUCUAUGCCGCUGCAGACAUUUAACCAAGAGGGCACACCACAAUGGUAGUUAAUACCUGUUAGGAAGGAAGGAAGGAAGGAAGAAGGGGCACAUGAUGCCUGAAAACGACGCAUCCAGCACCGACAAAAAAAGCAUGUGAGUUUGCACCUACACUCAACAGUGACCAUAAUGGAAUCAUGUGUAAAGGUUUCAAGAGCCAUGAGCAGAGUUGCACUAGUCGGCUCUAUUCUAGAAAAGGCAGCUCUCCAAUCAGGUGUCUAACUCAACGAAAAAAAUCAAAAUUCAGAUGGUGAGAUAACAUCAUCAAUUUUCAGAAUCAUCUUCACAACUUGAGUUGAUAGCAGAAUCUGCUGUUGCUUCCC